UUUGUUACUAUUUUUUUCUUUUUUUUUGGAAAUACUUCUAUUUAAGAUUUUAUAAAUAGGUCGCAUGAGUCUGCUACUAAUGGAUUCAGACUAGGCUACAUCCAAAAUCAUUGUAAAUAUGGUGUUUUUACUUCGUCUAGUAUUAUGAUUUUAGUUGUAGUUCUUUUUUAGACGAAGAAAUCGAACAAUUUCUAUUUAGUAUAUGCAUGUGUUUAAAGGGUUUUGUGCAAAGAAACACUUUAAGUCGCCAAUUUUUACAACUUUAUCUUUC
rnacentral:lncRNA from 1 species